rnacentral:sRNA from 1 species
AUGGCUGUCGUCAGCUCGUGUCGUGAGAUGUUGGGUUAAGUCCCGCAACGAGCGCAACCCUUGUCCUUAGUUGCCAGCACGUAAUGGUGGGAACUCUAAGGAGACCGCCGGUGACAAACCGGAGGAAGGUGGGGAUGACGUCAAGUCAUCAUGGCCCUUACGGCCAGGGCUACACACGUACUACAAUGGUGGGUACAAAGGGUCGCCAAGCCGCGAGGCGGAGCCAAUCCCAGAAAACCCAUCUCAGUCCGGAUCGCAGUCUGCAACUCGACUGCGUGAAGUCGGAAUCGCUAGUAAUCGCGGAUCAGCAAUGCCGCGGUGAAUACGUUCCCGGGCCUUGUACACACCGCCCGUCACACCAUGGGAGUUUACUGCACCAGAAGCAGGUAGCCUAACCGCAAGGAUGGCGCCUACCACGGUGUGGUCGAUGACUGGGGUGAAGUCGUAACAAGGUAGCCGUACGGGAACGUGCGGCUGGAUCACCUCCUUUAAGAGACCGCGUCCAACAGACUUGUUGGCGCGAGCCCCUUCACAAGUUACCUGCCCAAUUCCUCAAGGUAGCGGCCCUAGAAGCUUGCGCUAUGCUUAGUAACGCUUUGGGCUGCAGAUACAACAUUGGGUCUGUAGCUCAGUUAGUUAGAGCGCACCCCUGAUAAGGGUGAGGUCGGGGGUGCAACUCCUCCCAGACCCACCAAUGUCCUUUGUUUUCGAACGGGGGGGCCAUAGCUCAGCUGGGGGAGCGCCUGCUUUGCAAGCAGGAGGUCAUCGGUUCGAUCCCGAUUGGCUCCACCAGCUUUGCCGCAUACCUUGCCAGGUACAACAGAUUGAGUCGCGCGUCCUGCAUGAACGCGUUGCUCUUUAAAAAUCCGGAAGAUUCUUUUUUGAUUUGACGCUAAGUUUUCAAGCGAAGAUUGUUUUUUGAUUCUCUUGAGAAUGUCGCGUUCGCAUUGAUGUGAGAAAUCAGCUAGUAAGUGUAUGACCCCAAGACUCCUUGAGGUUAUAUGGUCAGGUGAAUAAGCGCAUAUGGUGGAUGCCUAGGCGGUAGAAGGCGAUGAAGGACGUGGUAGCCUGCGAAAAGCGUCGGGGAGCUGGCAAACAAGCUUCGAUCCGGCGAUGUCCGAAUGGGGAAACCCGG